AAUAUUAUGCCUGAAAAAAAGGUUUAUCUUGAUAGGAUAAAUAAUGUAUGCUACCCAUACUAAUAUUA
rnacentral:tRNA from 2 species